rnacentral:rRNA from 1 species
AUUGAACGCUGGCGGCAUGCCUUACACAUGCAAGUCGAACGGCAGCACGGGAGCAAUCCUGGUGGCGAGUGGCGAACGGGUGAGUAAUAUAUCGGAACGUGCCCAGUCGUGGGGGAUAACGCAGCGAAAGCUGUGCUAAUACCGCAUACGAUCUAUGGAUGAAAGCGGGGGAUCGCAAGACCUCGCGCGAUUGGAGCGGCCGAUAUCAGAUUAGCUAGUUGGUGAGGUAAAGGCUCACCAAGGCGACGAUCUGUAGCUGGUCUGAGAGGACGACCAGCAACACUGGAACUGAGACACGGUCCAGACUCCUACGGGAGGCAGCAGUGGGGAAUUUUGGACAAUGGGCGAAAGCCUGAUCCAGCAAUGCCGCGUGCAGGAUGAAGGCCUUCGGGUUGUAAACUGCUUUUGUACGGAACGAAACGGUGGGCUCUAAUACAGUUUGCUAAUGACGGUACCGUAAGAAUAAGCACCGGCUAACUACGUGCCAGCCGCCGCCGUAA